rnacentral:rRNA from 1 species
GACGAACGCUGGCGGCGUGGAUUAGGCAUGCAAGUCGAACGGUAUCAUCCUUUCGGGGGUGAGAGAGUGGCGAACUGGUGAGUAACACGUAGGUUAUCUACCCUCAAGACGGGGACAACCCAGGGAAACUUGGGCUAAUACCGGAUGUGAGCAACUUUUAGUUGUUUGAAAGGUGGCGUAAGCUGUCGCUUGGGGAUGAGCCUGCGUCCUAUUAGUUAGUUGGUGAGGUAACGGCUCACCUAGGCAAUGAUAGGUAGGCGGCCUUAACGGGUGGUCGCCCACACUGGGAUUGAGAUACGGCCCAGACUCCUACGGGAGGCAGCAGUCGAGAAUAGUCUACAAUGGUCGGAAGACUGAUAGUGCGACGCCGCGUGAACGAUGAAUCCCUUCGGGGUGUAAAGUUCUUUUAUAUGUGAGCAGUGCUUCUUAUAUUAACAGUAUGGGGAGAGAGAUAUUAGCAUAUGAAUAAGCAACGGCUAACUUCGUGCCAGCAGCCGCGGUAAACUCGU